UUUAAAGGGAGCGUAGGGGGAUUGUUAAGUCAGUUGUGAAAGUUUGCGGCUCAACCGUAAAAUUGCAGUUGAUACUGGCAGUCUUGAGUGCAGUAGAGGUGGGCGGAAUUCGUGGUGUAGCGGUGAAAUGCUUAGAUAUCACGAAGAACUCCGAUUGCGAAGGCAGCUCACUGGAGUGUAACUGACGCUGAUGCUCGAAAGUGUGGGUAUCAAACAGGAUUAGAUACCCUGGUAGUCCACACAGUAAACGAUGAAUACUCGCUGCUUGCGAUAUACAGUAAGCGGCCAAGCGAAAGCAUUAAGUAUUCCACCUGGGGAGUACGCCGGCAACGGUGAAACUCAAAGGAAUUGACGGGGGCCCGCACAAGCGGAGGAACAUGUGGUUUAAUUCGAUGAUACGCGAGGAACCUUACCCGGGCUUAAAUUGCAAAUGAAUUAUGGGGAAACCCAUACGCCGCAAGGCAUUUGUGAAGGUGCUGCAUGGUUGUCGUCAGCUCGUGCCGUGAGGUGUCGGCUUAAGUGCCAUAACGAGCGCAACCCUUAUCUUCAGUUACUAACAGGUCAUGCUGAGGACUCUGGAGAGACUGCCGUCGUAAGAUGUGAGGAAGGUGGGGAUGACGUCAAAUCAGCACGGCCCUUACGUCCGGGGCUACACACGUGUUACAAUGGGGGGUACAGAAGGCCGCUACCUGGUGACAGGAUGCCAAUCCCAAAAACCUCUCUCAGUUCGGAUCGAAGUCUGCAACCCGACUUCGUGAAGCUGGAUUCGCUAGUAAUCGCGCAUCAGCCAUGGCGCGGUGAAUACGUUCCCGGGCCUUGUACACACCGCCCGUCAAGCCAUGAAAGCCGGGGGUACCUGAAGUACGUAACCGCAAGGAGCGUCCUAGGGUAAAACUGGUAA
rnacentral:rRNA from 1 species